rnacentral:lncRNA from 1 species
GUUAUGUCAGAUAAGGGAAUACUGGAAGGAGACAGUGUAAACUACAAACUGAUUCAGCAGCAUCUUAAACUAUGCUCUCCUGCAUCAAUAUACUUGUUACUAUUGUUUUACUGGAGUCCCAAGUAUCUGUUUCAUACAUUCUGUCUAGGUUUAUAGCUGCAUUUAGUGAGAGAAAAUGUGAUUCAUUCUUACCUUGAAUCUGUAAGUUAUUUUAUUUCCAUCUUCCCUACUUCCUAUCUGGGCUUCUAAAUUAUUAGUUUGUUUUUGACUUCUUCGUAUUUAUGGUGGAAUCUUGCUACAGUGAGCCAUGUAAAAUGAAAAUUGUACUAUUGUCACAUCUCUGUUUAAAGUAUUCCAAGCUCCUCCCUGAUAUAAAUGGAGACAAAAUCUUUGUGUGAUGUAAAAUUCCUUUUAUGACCCCUGGUUUGAUCUUCUAUAUCUAGUGUCUUCUCUCAUGACAUUCCCCUAAUAAUCUUGACUAGUCUGCUAUUCACAGAAUGUGGCAGAUACUCAUGACUCAUAUUUGCUAAUACUGUUUCCUCUCUGUGGAAAUGUAUUCUCCUCUCAUCUUCUUUUGGCUGAGAUCUAGAAACCAAGUGCUAAAAUUUAUAACCCUAAUAAAGAAAGUCCUGGAUUUGAAUAGGUCGGUCAGACACCUCAACUUGUGAAAUUCCCUAUUUUGCCAUACUGCUUACAUAAAAAUUUUAACACCCACAUGUAUUUUCUGUUAAUUUUUCACUCUUAGUGUUACACUAAAAAUGGGCACAGAAUGUCAGCAGUAAGUGAAAAGUUUUUGAGAAGAUUAGAUCUAGUGAAUAUAUUAAGUAAGGAUUAAAUAAAAGGAGACAGUCAUGUGUCAUGAGUAUUUUAGGCCAACAGAGACAUGGAUUCCACUAAAUCAUGUGAUAGCAAUCACAGAUCUGAGCUAAGAGACUUGAGUAAGUCAGAGACCAAGAAAACACUCAUACGAAGUCAAAAAGCAGAGUCCCCUGGGAAUUUCUCAUCAAUGCACAAUUUCAGGUCCUACCCAAGACCUAUAGAAUCAGAAUCUGCAUUUUAACAAGAUCCACACAUAUUUCACAGAUAUUAAAUUCUAGGAAGCACUCUAGUACAGCUCUGGGCAACAAAAUUCCAGAGACAAAACAUCUUGAUAAUAAAUAGAGACACCUGCAGAAAUAAUAAUCAGGAAGCAACAGAACACACUCCUCAUAUGUGCUCUAAGUACUG